CAGCCGCCGCGGUAAUACGUAGGGUGCGAGCGUUAAUCGGAAUUACUGGGCGUAAAGCGUGCGCAGGCGGUUCGUUAAGACAGAUGUGAAAUCCCCGGGCUUAACCUGGGAACUGCAUUUGUGACUGGCGAGCUAGAGUAUGGCAGAGGGGGGUAGAAUUCCACGUGUAGCAGUGAAAUGCGUAGAGAUGUGGAGGAAUACCGAUGGCGAAGGCAGCCCCCUGGGCCAAUACUGACGCUCAUGCACGAAAGCGUGGGGAGCAAACAGGAUUAGAUACCCGAGUAGUCCCUGUCUCUUAUAA
rnacentral:rRNA from 1 species